UACGGAGGGGGCUAGCGUUGUUCGGAAUUACUGGGCGUAAAGCGCGCGUAGGCGGAUCUGCAAGUCGGGGGGUGAAAUCCCGAGGCUCAACCUCGGAACUGCCUUCGAUACUGCGGGUCUCGAGUCCGGGAGAGGUGAGUGGAAUUCCUAGUGUAGAGGUGAAAUUCGUAGAUAUUAGGAAGAACACCAGUGGCGAAGGCGGCUCACUGGCCCGGUACUGACGCUGAGGCG
rnacentral:rRNA from 1 species